CUAAAAGCUCUUGGAAAUUUCAAGAUUUCAGGCUGUGGGAACCAUUUUUACAAGCAUUUUUUCACAACUAAGACUGAGAGUGAGGAGAGAAAGCUUUCCUGGCCACAGGUGCCUUGGAGUUGGCCUUAGAAGCACAGGUGAACAUGUGGUUUUCCUACAAGUGAGGCAGCUCCGAUCACCUCUGUUGCCAUGGGCUGAUUCCCAGGAGAGUGCCUCUCACGGAUGGGUGAGGCACUUUCCAAACUCCUGUGGAUGAGUUUCAAUGUCUGCAGUGUGAUAAGCCAUGGGACUUCUCCUCUGCUUCCUCC
rnacentral:lncRNA from 1 species